rnacentral:lncRNA from 1 species
GGAUAAUGAUGCCAUUGCCACAUUUUCUCUAAAUGAAUUUUUUAAGAAUGGAAGUCACGUUAUCAAAAGAUUUUAUGUGGGCCUUUAAAAAAAUGCACAAAGGAUUUAAGGUUAAUUUGAAGAAAUGAAAGAAAAUAUAGUUGAUGCCUACACAGAUGAAUAAUGAAGAAAGUCUUUGUGAAUCAAACAAUCCACCUUGGAAAGAACUGGAUAAACUAUUUUAUUCUUUCUGAAAAUGUAAUAAAGCAGCAUUCUGAAAGUAUCAAUGUAUAUGUGUGAACACCACAGAAGAAACAAAACGAAAGGGGAUGUUCAUCAGAACCUGCUGUAUAAGAGGAACCUGAGGAGGACCACACAGAG